rnacentral:sRNA from 1 species
UAUCCCCCAAACCAAGGGGGGAUGAGAACCACCGACCGGGGUUCGACAACUGGCGCAGCCAGUUGGACAGACGACGAGCUGCGAGGAGACUGCCCGAAGGGCGAGCGCAGCGAGUCAAUCCCCCCCUCACCGCCA